UUCAAUUUUCAAAGUUUCGAACAAGCAUGGAAGAUGGAACAAGAGACGAAGUUCAAGAAGAUGUAAAAGAAUCAAUUUGUUUUUAAAUGUACGUGGGCUAAACGAAAAAUAGGACAUCAAAUAAAAUUACAAAAAAAUGUGGUCGUCGUUUCAAUGAACAAACAACAACACAAUACUACAACUGCUCCAACUCCAUGUUUAGCUUUAGCAGAUUUGAGGCCUGUACCAGUCUUCAUAUCUACAAGAUAUCCCAGUUUUUCUUGGGCUGGUAUUGCCUAUCAUCAGCAACAAUCUCGGUUUCAUCAUCACUUGGAUAAACAUCAUCCUGUUUGAUUGGAGAUACUGCCGAUGUUGAUCGAGUUUCGGAUCUCGUCUUCCCCUUUCUUUAAAUCCUCUGUGUCCUCGUGUACACCCAUGUGUGUGUGUGGGGUAUUCAUGAGGACCCAGGCUGUUUUCCUAUCCCAUCCGGAUUCAACGUUUCUGCGGAUGGAGCGCUUUUGGAAGCCUGGCUGUAUUUCCCAGGCUUAAAGGGUUUUUUCCACGAUAAAAUAGCCGAAUAAAAUUUGGACACAAUAAUAGUCGUAUUAGAUGACACAGCCUUGUCGCACCCUGAACGCUAUCUUCCUCUCUCUCUCUCUAUAUCCAAUAAAAUUUUUAAUCAAAGGAUGAUUAUUGCGUUUAGUCGGUCAUAAAAAUCUCGACUUGAAAUAACAGAUGCACGACGGGGCGUCAGGGAUUUACGAUUAUCGCUUAGUGAUUAUAGGUUUGAGCUUCAGGCUAUACAAUCCCACUACAAUAUAAAGCAGAACUCGCCGCCCUAUUUUCCCCCCACAUCCUGUAGACUUCUCUCCAAUAAUUCUGAUAUAUUUUCUUAAAAUAAAAUAAAUGAUAGCUUAUUGUUCCAUCAUACAUCAGUGAUAGGAAAAAGUAUAUAUAUAUAUAUACUUUUUAUAGCACCAGGUGUACCUUGACCACCAUGCUAAAUCUAGCACGAUUCCGCUAUUGACACCAUUAGGUGAAAAAAAUAAAAUAAAUGUUGGAUGUCAGCGCUCCUCUGGAUGUUUAAUUUCUGUAGCUGUUGUAGCUGUCAUAUGACAUAUAAUUUAGCCCGAGUUUUUUUCUUCUUCUUCUUCUUUUAGUAUAGUAUGAGGAGAGUGUCAUAUUCAAGGUCUAAACGUUUCAUUCGUCCUGCCUCUAGCACAAUAGAUUUGGUCUCUGUACUGUAAAAGCAGCGUGCGUCAAUUUUAGACGCGGAAGAAACAUGGUAAGAAGUAGCUAUUACGUUAGUUUUAGUGCUUCAAAGGAUCAAUCCAGUUUGGUGCAUUUUCUUUCGAAUGACAAAUAACGGCCAUAUAAGAUAAACUAUUCAAUUUUCGUGAUAGCAGCAUUAUUAUAUGUGAUUUAGCUUUGAACUUGAAUAUAUUUGUGCCUUGAUGUAUAAAUAUAAUAAUAGGACACUGCCUCGGACAAUCCGCUGUAUUUAGUUAUUUUAUAAAACCACCGACACCCUGUCAUUUGCUAUAGUAGAAUAGCUGCGUUCCACUUAAUGUGAUUUUGACCAAGACACUAUUAUAGCUAAGUUAAAUAAUCCACAGCCUAAAACUAUAGAACUGCUGUCAUUACUUUCUUGAAAUUCUUCUACAAGCAAACAGUAAAAAUGUUUCUAAAAUUACCGCUUUUUUUGUUUACGUAAAAAUGUAUGAAAAGAAAACGUCUAUGUAAAAGUAUACUGUGAAGAAAUCCUCGGAAAUCCUUCAUAAACAGGAUUUGUGUUUUUAAUUGUGGCGAUGCUUCUGCUUUAAAGGCUGAAUGACUUACCAAAGUUUGACAGAUCAUGAUCAGGAAGGGGGCUUGAAAUGUAUUAAGUCCGUCUCACGCAAUCGUGCACGAGUGAGCGCGUUUUAUUUGGCCUCAGGCGUUUCGUCGUCAUGCAAACUGAUUUUAACGAUAAGCAACAAUAAAACUACUAUGGAGCGGAAUCAUCAAGUCGCAGGUAAUACCUUUUUGAUAAUAUAAAAACACUGGCUUAAUGGCCUUUUGUCCCGCCCGGCAUCCAACUAACUUGAUCGAGCUACUGAUCCCGCAUGAUAAUUAGAUUUUGUAACUUAAAUAUAUGAAUUCCCAUUGUGAUGAAACUGACAAGGGCGGAGACAAACUCAAAUUGUCCAGCAGGUAAAAAAAAAAGAAAAAUAAAGAAAAAAAGAAUGGAAAAAUCUUUUACAAUUUAUAAGAUCGAGCAUUCAGAUAAAAUAAUUGUUUUGAGCGCAAUGGAAGAGUGAAACUAAAUAAUUUUCGGUAAAAUGGGAAAACCUUUAGACUUGGUUUUUCGGAAGUGACCGCUUAAGUCUGAUCAUCAUGAAAAGCAUGCCACUAAAACACUAAAGCAGUUAACAACCGGAAAGUAAGGACAAAUUUCUUCUAUCGUCAAUAAAAUAACAAUCAUGCGAACCAAGGAAGGUAAAAUUCAUGAAGCUCCCGCAGUGUCAUGAACCUUUUUAACUCAGUUUAGGAUCUAACCGUCUAAUCAGAGCUUUUCAACACGAAUCCCUAUUUUGAACCUAUAUUGUGGUUCGGUAGCCACCGUAGAGAAAAACAUAGCGCGGAGCAAACAGACUGUACUGCAUUUGUAGUAAAUCGUUAAUUUCCGGAAAGUAGAAAUGUGGGUACCUGAAUUAUAAACUGACUAAAAAAUUCUGAAUGCUGGCAUAUUUUAAAAAAUUGAAACUGUAUAGUGAUUAUUGCAACUACAUAUGCAUCUCUUCCGCUUUAAAAUCCGGAAAAAAAAUUGUGCACUAUAAUUAAGUGGCUGGUUCUAUUUUGUGUUACAAAUAAAAAUGGACGAAUUUAUGCAAAUUCAGGAUCAUUUUCUAUGAAUUUCCAUUCGUUUGUUUUGCAUAAGGACACAGCAGCGACGUUCUUACACAGUUUAAAGUGAAAGGGAGGUUUUAUUUGUUCUGUAAAUUUACAUUCCCCUUUCCCCCUGAGACGACUAGAGAGUCAAUAGAGGCUAUGUCGUGCUUGUAAAUCUACGGCUGGUAGUAGUAACUAAUGUGUGCCUGAAGCGCAAACCACGGAAGGGUUGUGGUCGAGCCGAGAGGUUAAUUGACCCUUGCUGUUUUAGCUGUUUCAUUAGCCUCCAACUCUCUACGUGGUCCACAGUUUUCGUUGUUUAGGAGGCUCGAUAUUUAAAGUAAUUCAGGUAAACGGAAACCCUUCUUCAAGAAAAGGAAAAAUAAAUAAAUAAUUCGGUAUGUUUCUUUAGAAAUUUCAUAUUUUAUUUAUUUAUUUUUUUUUGGUUUAGGUAUUCUGCGCGAUUUAAUCAACCGAUCAAUGCAGUCUAUAAUGCAAUUUCCACACCUGUUGUUUGCUUCGUCUCUAGCUAAUUAAGCGCCUCUAGCUAUUCAAAAUUAAUAAUCGACCUCCCACCUCUCUCAUUAGUGUUUCUUUUCAAAUUCCAAAGUAUCCAUUUAUUUUUAUUUUGCUGCAAGAAACACACACACACACACAAAGCAAUUUUCAAGUGGUACCCUACUUCCAAGGGAAGUACAAAAAGAAACAGAAAACUUUGUGUUUACGAGCCAGCUGGUGGUAUAAGAAGGCAAUUUCACUUAUCAUGUGGAGUUGUGGACUGAAACUGCUGUACAUUUUGCCACAAUGUCGCUCUUGCUGCCUGUGCUAGCUGCAUGUUUCUUCAUACAGAAAUACUUUUUUUCGUCAACACAUGAACUUUUACAGAUUAACAACCUGGUGAAGUCGUAGUUUCUUCGUUGCAGUCCAAUGUGCACAUAGAUUUGUUGCAGCCAGAUGAUGGAAGAAGGUGUGAUCAAAUUGAGCUCUUGCAUGUUUCUUAAUUUCAUCAUCUCCAUGUAGCAUAUGAUUGAGCCACCACCAAAUUUUGAUUUCCUUUACCAACUGUCAACUGACGACAUUUUCAAGUUGGGCAUGGAUGGCCGGUACCAGACGUUUGAAAAUAGAAAACACCCGCAAUCCACUUGCCCUCAGUAAGAACCCAGUAGGUAUACAAGGAGAGACACCGUGAAUGUCCUUGUCGCCUUUAUUACUUACAUCUUACCAAUGGCCCAAAGCACCAGAUUUAGAAUACUUGAUGAAAUUCGUCUUUACGGUCCAUUGAGUUCCACCGUAUCACGAAGUGAAGCAUCUAGCUCAAUGUCAUUAAAGAUUUCCAUCACGGCCCCACCUGUUUGGAUCUACCCAUUGGCUAGACCUCUGUUUAUGGCUAAAUGUGUCCUUUUUCCGCACAAACGGCCUCAUAUCGUUGAGAGAAUUCUCUCUGUAAGUGGGAACCCUCUGUGCGUGUCCCGCUGAGAAGAAAUGGUGACCAAAGUCGGCAACAUGGGCAUGUACGGUAAGAACGGUCAGGGAUGUCGCCAGAGGAGUGAAGAAUGAAUAUAGUUUGGAACUUUAGUACUACAAAGCAUUACCUAGAGAGGAACGGAAAUUAAACUGUUGCUAGACGGGUACGGCCACCUCAUCUUUCUCGACUUAAGGGCACACUUUUAGGGACUUUGGGAUCUGGAGGUGAACAUCUGGAGUAAAAAUCAGAUUGAACUGUUGAGAAAUUUUAUCAAUCAGUCCAUCCAUCAAUUUGGCAAAACUGAAAUCCUGAUGGAUUUGAUCGUUGUUGUUGACAUGUAUCACAAUUUUUUCAAAUGUUUGUGGUUGGAAAAGGACAUCUGGCGGCCAGAUUUGCCUUCAGAUGUGUGAGCGUAGGCAUUCUCUGGAUUGGAGGAUAGAAAUUCUCUACUAGGCAAGCCUUUUAGACCCUACCUUCUUCGUUCACUUUUAGUUAAAGGUCACAUAGAUAAAAAAAACUU
rnacentral:lncRNA from 1 species